rnacentral:rRNA from 1 species
UCGGACUGCAGGCUGAAACUCGCCUGCACGAAGUUGGAAUUGCUAGUAAUCGCGGAUCAGCAUGCCGCGGUGAAUACGUUCCCGGGUCUUGUACACACCGCCCGUCACACCAUGGGAGCUGGUAACACCCGAAGUCAGUAGUCUAACCGCAAGGAGGACGCUGCCGAAGGUGGGAUUAGCGACUGGGGUGAAGUCGUAACAAGGUAUC